rnacentral:rRNA from 1 species
AUUGAACGCUGGCGGCAGGCCUAACACAUGCAAGUCGAGCGAGCGGCGGACGGGUGAGUAAUGUAUGGGGACUGCCCGAUAGAGGGGGAUAACUACUGGAAACGGUAGCUAAUACCGCAUACUAUCGGAUAACCCAUAUGGGAUUAGCUAGUAGGUGAGGUAAUGGCUCACCUAGGCGACGAUCCCUAGCUGGUCUGAGAGGAUGAUCAGCCACACAGGGACUGGGCAACGGCCCAGGCUCCGACGGGGGCAGCAGUGGGGAAUAUUGCACAAAGCGCGCAAGCCUGAUGCAGCGACGCCGCGUAGGGGAUGAAGGCUUUCGGGUUGUUAACCUCUUUCGGUAUCGAACGGGUAGGUGGAGAAGAAGCGCCGGCUAACUACGUGCCAGCAGCCGCGGUAAUAC